ACAAAAGUAAAUUAGUUAUACAAUAAAUAUAUCUAAUUACAAUUUUUGUAUUUAACUUGAAUAUAUAUUAGAAAUAAUUUUUACAUUUAUUAGUAAUUUCUAUGUAUCAUUUGAAUAUUUGCAAAACGAACGAAAAAAGAAAUGUAUCACAAUGAAAGAAAUAUUUUGCUAAUUAAUAAUAUUUAUCAAGAUUACAGAUUUUGAUCGAUGUUCGCUAGAUUUCGAAGGAAUAGAGGAGAGAGAGACAGAGAGAGAGAGAGAGAGAGAGAGAGAACGAGAACGAGAGAGAGAGAGAGAGAGAAUGAGAUCGAUGGGUUAGGAACGUGGAAUCAUUGUUGGAUCGUAUGGUUCGGCAUUGCGGUGAGAUUAACUCGAUAUUACGAGGGAAAUACGCCGAUAGCGUUCGAAACGUCGGAUGGUCAAAGGAGGUGAUGGUGGAGGUGGAGAUGGAGUGCAGGAGAAAGAGGAGGAGAUGGUAGUGGUGGUCGUAGAGAUGGAGGUGGAGGCCUUACAAAGAUAGCUCGUUUUCAAAUUGGCUCUGAGAGCCAAUGAUCGUUCGAGCACGUAAUCGAUGUAAUUUAAUGAAUGACGGGCCGGUUUGCGCUCGAGCACACUCGUGAAGGAGAAGCCAUAGUGAGAGCCUGUAUUACGCAUACCAUAUCUGUCUAUACACGUACACACACAUAUAUAUAUAUAUAUAUAUAUCUAUCCAUGUAUGACAUACAUACAUACAUAUUGUCUAUGUAGAUACACAUAUGUAUAUAAAACAGAUAUACAUAUAUCUGUUCAAAGAGAGAAGAGGACUGUCCAAUAGGCGCAGCCCGAUGUCAGUCAAGGAAUUAAUCCAUGAGACAAGGCGUGCGGACGGGACUUCGAGAAACCCAUGGGAAUCGUCGAGAUGUCCUAACGGGGUCAACGUUAUGGAAUAAAAAAAAAAAAGUAAUAAAAAGAACAAAAAAAGAAAAAAAAAAAAAGAAGAAGAAAAAAGGGCGAAGCGCGUCUACUCCACUUCGUUAGGACUCAUCGAGGCAAGGAGAAACGAUGAGAAUGGUGGAAGAGGAGAAGGAUGAGGAGGAGAAGGAUGAGGAGGAGGAGGAGGAGGAGGAGGAGGAGGAGGAGGAUGAAGAGGAGGAACUAAGGGCCCCGGAAAUCUCGCAUUCCAUUCGUUCGCUCUCAUCUCUUGUACCACUAUUCUGGAAUUUCGGACGGAUCGAUAGAUAUGUAUUUGCUAAUCAAACGAAAAAAUUCAUAUUUUUAUUACAAAUUCGUGUUUUCCAUGAACGAAUAGUAUCACAUUCAUAAAUAUAACGUUGUAAACAUUCGAUUAAAUCGUCACUUUGAUAUAUUCACACAAAUGAUAAAUACGACGGUUCUUUUUAUAAAAUCAAAAAAAAAAAAAAAAAAAAAAAAAAAAAAAAAAAAAGAAAAAGAAAAAAGAAAGAAAAAGAAAACAAAGAAAUGAUACGUUCACUUUAUGAGUAGAUAUCGCAUGUAUUGAAAACUUCAUAAGCAUAGAAGAAACAAAUCAUAUUAGAGUUUCUCUUCGAGUUCGUAGGGUAUCAUUAAAAACCUUUAAAAAAAUCAAUGUCUAUUUCUCAAGAAAAAGCGAAAGAAAAAAGAAAAAAAAAAAAAAAAGAAAAAUUCAUUUUAAUAAUGAACAACCAAUAAUAAUGUCAUUUGCUCGAAAGAAAAGUAAAUGUAUAUGAAGAGGGACGAAUAUUAGAAUUGUAAGAAAUAUUUUUGAUUGAGAAUGACGUAAACUGGAUCAUUAACUGGGCACAGACAAUAAUCACCGUCGUCAUUACCCAUCAGCAUCAUCCAUUAGCAUCAACAUAACAGAGACCAAAGACAGAGGCAGAGUCAGAGUCAGAGACAGAACCAGAAGCAGAAGCCAGUAGUAGAAGCAGCAGUAGAAGCAGAAGCCAGUAGUAGAAGCAGUAGUAGAAGCAGAAGCAGAAGUAGA